AACACAAUUAGAAACAUUGGGUAUAUUACCAAGGCUUUUAUUGGGAAUGUUAUAUUAGACAAUGAUGUGGAUGGAAUCAGAUGACCAGACAGCUUUAAGGAGCUAAGGGUGAUUUUAAGGAGCCAAUUCUCCUGGAAAACCGGCCCACAUCUGGCUUAUAGGAUUGACUGCCUUACAGAAACUCCCCUUCAUUAAACACUGAUGGCUGGCAUAAUCCAGCAAAUAUGCUCUACCCCCUGGUCUCAACAGAUGAUUCAGCAGGUCUUUAAUGAAUAAAAGGCUUACAGGUUGAAGCUAGAUGACUUGAUAUAAACAUCAAGGAAACAACCACAACAGGUCAUGUGUGGUCAACCACCUUCUCAGUUGUUGUGUGGGCCGCUCAGAAAGUUCGCCAGAACACCUGAUGCCAUCACCACAGACAUUCAAACUUCAAACCAAGAAAGAAAUUGAAUGCCACUGCUAUCCCCACUCCACCCUCUAAAGAUAUUUUGAGCCCAAUAUCUAGAAAUAUUCUUCACCGACUGCCCUCUGGAAUCAAAAACUGGGUUUUUUAAAUUAAUCUUUUGUUUUUAUUUUACUUUCAUAGAAACUCCCCCUUCUUAAAUACC